AUUGAACGCUGGCGGCAUGCCUUACACAUGCAAGUCGAACGGCAGCACGGGAGCAAUCCUGGUGGCGAGUGGCGAACGGGUGAGUAAUAUAUCGGAACGUGCCCAGUCGUGGGGGAUAACGCAGCGAAAGCUGUGCUAAUACCGCAUACGAUCUGUGGAUGAAAGCGGGGGACUCGCAAGGGCCUCGCGCGAUUGGAGCGGCCGAUAUCAGAUUAGCUAGUUGGUGGGGUAAAGGCCCACCAAGGCGACGAUCUGUAGCUGGUCUGAGAGGACGACCAGCCACACUGGGACUGCGACACGGUCCAGACUCCUACGGGAGGCAGCAGUGGGGAAUUUGGGACAAUGGGCGCAAGCCUGAUCCAGCAAUGCCGCGUGCAGGAUGAAGGCCUUCGGGUUGUAAACUGCUUUUGUACGGAGCGAAACGGUCUGCCCUAAUACGGUGGGCUAAUGACGGUACCGUAAGAAUAAGCACCGGCUAACUACGUGCCAGCAGCCGCCGUAA
rnacentral:rRNA from 1 species